CUACUCCCUCGUUUCUUCUGCCGCAAUUACACUGCCAACUAGGUUCAGGAAUGGGGGUGGAACAUGUGCUGGAUACAGCUGAGAGAAGUUCGCAUGAAACAAUGCUGGAAACCAUUGAGGCCCUGCUUGAGGAGCAGAGGUUGGACAUAAUAAACAUGCUGUAAAGCUGUAAGCUUUCGAGCAGCCUGUUUAUCUUCUAUUAGCCACCAAGAGCUUUGCAUAGUAUGGUCAGGAAGUCUUGUACUAAGGAUUUGAAGGAAAAGCUUUGUGUUAGAAUCGUGUAUGAAUGUAUAGACAUAGCCUUUUAAUCAAGCUUGGACUUGACACUAAUGCAGUAUGCGCCACAAAGCUCAUCAACAAGUAUCUGUCCUUAGGGCUUGCCAACUCUCUCAGUCAUGCCCACCAACUGUUUGAUCAAGUACCUUUGAAAGACCCACCUUUAUGGACAUCCCUAAUCUCCGCUUAUGCUCGCCACAACCAACUUGACAAUGCCCUCCAUCUCUUCUCCCUUAUGCUCCGGCAAACCCAACCAGAUUUAGAUGCCCGACCAAAUCACUUUGUCAUCACUGCUGUUGCCCGGGCCAUUGCAUUUGCUCCACAACACAUCUUUUUGGGCCAACUUCUUCAUGCCCAUGUUAUCAAAUCUGGAUUUUUACCUGGAAAAGUCAUCGUUGAAACUGCCUUUCUUGAUAUGUAUUCCAAGUGUGGGGUCAUAGAGUCUGCAAGGAAGUUGUUUGAGGAAAUGCCAUACAGAAACUUAGUGACUUGUAAUGCUAUGUUGUCUGGGUACAUGCAAAAUGGAAUGGAAACUCAUGGGUCAAAGUUGUUCUACCGGAUGAAGUGUGGAGAGGUUUAUGCACCUGAUGAGUAUAGUAUUUCAACUGUGUUGUCUGGUUGUGUACAAACUCAAGAUCUUGUUUUGGGUAUGCAAGUUCAUGCGUAUGCAAUUGUUGGUGGUUUUGAAGUAAAUUGUGCAAAUUCAAUUGCUAAUAUGUAUUUUUCUUGUGGUAGAAUUGCCUGUGCCACGAAAAUUAUGGAUGCAGUCUACCAGGAUACUGUUUCAAAGCUUUUAAGCAUAAGAGGUUAUAUUUUAAAUCACAGUUAUGUUGCUGCAUUUAGGUAUGUUUGCUCUCUGGGUAAUGUAGUUGAAAUUUUAAACACAGAUUAUACAAUUUUUGUGCCUCUACUAACUAUCUGCACAAAGUUAUCUCUGGUCAGAGUCGGGAAGCAAGUCCAUGGCCUCUUUAUUGCUAUGACAAAUUCAUAUAAGAUUAUUAAUCCAUUAGGGGAGGAUGGGGUAAUUAUUGGUAGUGCAUUAAUUGAUAUGUAUUGCAAAUGUGGUGAUGUUGGUGAAGGCAAGAAAGUUUUUGAAACAUGGCCGUGUGAACAUGUUUCACUCUGGAACGCAUUAAUAUCUGGUUAUAUAUCCAAUGGCCUUAUUGAGACUGCUAAUGUUCUGUUUCAGGCUAUGCCCAAGAAAGAUAUUGUUUCUUGGACUAGCAUGAUCACAGGAUUUGUGCGGAAUAACAUGCCCCAAGAAGGAUUAGAUUUAUUGGCUAAAAUGUAUUGCACUGAAGGCGGAUAUGAGAUUGAUGGAAACUGCUUAACUUUUGUAGUGUGCCUGGAAGCAUGCACCCAUCUAACAGAUUUGGAAAAAGGAAAGCAGAUACAUGCAAAAAUCAUUAGGAGAUUACCCGGUGUAGAUACUAGUAAUGUGGUUGUUGGAACAGCUUUAGUAGAAAUGUAUUCUAGAUCAGGCAAUUUGCAUUACUCACACACAGUUUUUGAUUCAAUGAAGCAGAAAAACAUCGUUGCAUGGACAUCUAUUCUCACGGGUUUUGCAGCCCAUGGGUGUGGUUUACAAGCCCUUGAAAUGUUCCAAAAAAUGCUAGAUAAUGGCAUUCAGCCAAAUGAAGUGACAUUUGUCACAAUAUUAACUGCGUGCAGUCAUUGUGGUUUGGUGAAUGAGGGACUGCAAUAUUUUAAGGAGAUGAAGAAGUAUGGGUUGACGCCAAAGGAAGAUCAUUAUACUUGUUUAAUUGAUAUGUUGGGACGAAAUGGAAUGCUUGAAGAGGCAUGGCAUUUGGUGAGGGAAGUUGAAGAGCUGGGUAAUAAGUCUUAUGCAGGUUCCAUUUGGGCUGCAUUGCUUGGGGCUUGCCAAUUGUACGAAAACGUUGAAAUUGGAAGAAAGGUAGCACAGAAGAUGUUGGAAAAUGAAAAGCAGAUUUCAGCGACCUGUAUUGCAUUAUAUAAUGUCUUUGCAACAGCAGGGAUGUGGAAUGAAGCAUAUGAAACAAGAGAGUUUUUGACCAGAGAAGGAAUUGCCAAUGGAGAGGCUGGCCUUAGUCGCCUCUGCAUGCCUCCUCUUUGAUCUGACCAUUUCAAGCAACUUUAGUCAUUUAGUGACAGCAAAGGUUUUGGCCGCAGUCUAAAAAGUGGCUGCAAGGUAUAAUGAUAUUGAAGAUAUAAUGAGCUUAGUAUCCUCCGGCAUAUCUCUUAAUUCAAAGGAUUCACAGGGCCGAACUGCACUGCAUAUGGCUUCUGCUAAUGGGCAUUGUGACAUUG